rnacentral:lncRNA from 1 species
UUUGUGCGUAUUGGUAACACUUUUUUUUUCCGUGAAAUGAGUACGCGCCAUGGCAACAACUUGAGUGUGAAGGGCAUUUGGGUGUUUGUUGGACUAUUGUCGUAAUGAUAUAAUUUUUAAACGGUCCAGAGAUAUUCACUUUUUUUGUAGGUUAUCUUCAGGGCCACCGCCUUAAUCCGUCUUUGGUCACUCCUCCUCCCUAUGGACAAACGGGAGCUUCGGGCUUCUGAGUGCACACGCUUGGAGACGGUCGCUUGGGAUAUCUCUAACCCGGCUGGCUGACGGCCUGUUGCUAGAUUGCAAGAUGUAUAGAAAUUUUCUUCAGGAUCUUUACUUUAUUUGGCUUCUUUUUGUAUCAACUUUGUGCGAUCCAUGAUUUGUGUAUUGAGAUGAUACAAUUUUGCAAUAAAUUGGAUGUGUGCAUCGUUUUGAUGCAAAGGCUAGGGAGAACCCC